CCUACGGGAGGCAGCAGUGGGGAAUAUUGCACAAUGGGGGAAACCCUGAUGCAGCGACGCCGCGUGAGUGAAGAAGUAUCUCGGUACGUAAAGCUCUAUCAGCAGGGAAGAAAAUGACGGUACCUGACCAAGAAGCCACGGCUAACUACGUGCCAGCAGCCGCGGCAAUACGGAGGGGGCAAGCGUUAUCCGGAUUUACUGGGUGUAAAGGGAGCGUAGACGGGUGCACAAGUCUGGAGUGAAAUCCCGGGGCUCAACCCCGGAACUGCUUUGGAUACUGUGCGGCUGGAGUACAGGAGGGGUAGGCGGAAUUCCUGGUGUAGCGGUGAAAUGCGUAGAUAUUAGGAGGAACACCGGUGGCGAAGGCGGCUUACUGAACUGUAACUGACGUUGAUGCUCGAAAGCGUGGGGAGCAAACAGGAUUAGAUACCCCUGUAGUC
rnacentral:rRNA from 1 species